GUGAAUCAUCGAAUUUUUGAACGCAAAUUGCACUCCUCUCGGAGAGUAUGCCUGUUUGAGGGUCAGCCUAAUAAAAAUCGACAUCGUUGCUGGUUCGCGGUGCAGUUAGUCGCAAAUUGGGUUAUCUUAAACCUUUUGGUUUUUAAGCGAUUUCUAAUUUACUUUUGUUUCUAUGAAAGUUUCUAAGAUUUAUAUCUUUACAAGUUUAAGGGUAUCUAUUUUGUUACAUGUGGUCGUCAUAUCGGCUCGCGCU
rnacentral:misc_RNA from 1 species